GAGUUUAUAGUCACUGUGACCGCAAGGAAGAUCGGCAGCAACUGGUGGUACAAUACAUGCAAGAAAUGCAUGAAGACAACAAAGCGCCACGGCGAUUCCUACAAGUGCACAGGUCCUAAGUGCAACUACAUUGGGAUGCCCAAUCAAAGGUUCAAGCUAUCCAUACUAGCUGGUGACAACACAGCUAAUGUCGAGUUCAUUCUGUUUGGGAGGCAAGCUCAGCGACUGACAAGGAAAUCAGCUGAGACCCUUGUGGCUGAAAACCUAGCUGACUUCAUUCCAGAUGAGCUUACAAAGCUGCUUGAGAAGACGUUCACAUGGAUAGUAAGCUUUUCUGAUAGUACAACAGAUUCUGGCACCAUUACACUUCAGGUCAACACAGUGGUCGGAGAAGUCGGUCAAGAAGGCUCUAUCAUUCCAGCGAUGCCAGCAACAUCCCAGACAUCUUCGCUCAUGCUGUCAGAAGGUGCCACCGCCAGCAUGCAUGGAACUUCUCACCAAGGCGCUUCUCAAUAGAGCCAGGCUCUUCCUAUGUCACCAAUUGCUGCCUGCUCUGAUGCUAGCCAUGCCUCCAACGCCUCCCCGGUCAGGCCUGCCUUACCUGCCUCUGAUGCACCGCAGACUCCACAAAGUGUGAAGAGCACGGCUAAUUACAAGGACAAGUCUGAAAAUCCUGCUAUGAAGCCUUCUAAGAGUGCUCUGGUGCCACAGAAACCCUUCGCUAGGAAAAGGU